ACAGGAUUAGAUACCCCUGGUAGUCCACGCCGUAAACGGUGGGGCACUAGGUGUGGGCAACAUUCCACGUUGUCCGUGCCGCAGCUAACGCAUUAAGUGCCCCGCCUGGGGAGUACGGCCGCAAGGCUAAAACUCAAAGGAAUUGACGGGGGCCCGCACAAGCGGCGGAGCAUGUGGCUUAAUUCGACGCAACGCGAAGAACCUUACCAAGGCUUGACAUACACCGGAAAACCCUGGAGA
rnacentral:rRNA from 1 species